rnacentral:rRNA from 1 species
AACGAACGCUGGCGGCAUGCCUAACACAUGCGAGUCGAACGAGACCUUCGGGUCUAGUGGCGCACGGGUGCGUAACGCGUGGGAACCUGCCCUUAGGUUCGGAAUAACUCCCCGAAAGGGGUGCUAAUACCGGAUAAUGUCUUCGGACCAAAGAUUUAUCGCCCUUGGAUGGGCCCGCGUUGGAUUAGCUAGUUGGUAGGGUAAAAGCCUACCAAGGCGACGAUCCAUAGCUGGUCUGAGAGGAUGAUCAGCCACACUGGGACUGAGACACGGCCCAGACUCCUACGGGAGGCAGCAGUGGGGAAUAUUGGACAAUGGGCGAAAGCCUGAUCCAGCAAUGCCGCGUGAGUGAUGAAGGCCUUAGGGUUGUAAAGCUCUUUUACCCGGGAUGAUAAUGACAGUACCGGGAGAAUAAGCUCCGGCUAACUCCGUG